CCUACGGGAGGCAGCAGUGAGGAAUAUUGGUCAAUGGGCGGAAGCCUGAACCAGCCAAGUCGCGGGAGGGAUGAAGGUUCUAUGGAUCGUAAACCUCUUUUAUAAGGGAAUAAAGUGCGGGACGUGUCCCGCUUUGCAUGUACCUUAUGAAUAAGGAUCGGCUAACUCCGUGCCAGCAGCCGCGGUAAUACGGAGGAUCCGAGCGUUAUCCGGAUUUCUUGGGGUUAAAGGGUGCGUAGGCGGGCGUUUAAUUCAGAGGGGAAAGUUUGUGGCUCAACCCUAGAAUUGCCGUUGAAACUGGGAGGCUUGAGUAUGUUUGAGGCAGGCGGAAUGCGUGGGGUAGCGGUGAAAUGCUUAGAUAUCACGCAGAACCCCGAUUGCGAAGGCAGCCUGCCAAGCCAUGACUGACGCUGAUGCACGAAAGCGUGGGGAUCGAACAGGAUUAGAUACCCGUGUAGUC
rnacentral:rRNA from 1 species